rfam:Chryseobacterium chaponense strain DSM 23145 genome assembly, contig: Ga0111693_109
UUCUAGCCCCGAUCGCAACGGCAUCCUUUUAUGGAGCUUCAGCGGAAUAAAAGAUAUAGUGGAGAGCGGGAUUAAGC